GACGAACGCUGGCGGCGUGCUUAACACAUGCAAGUCGAACGGUAAGGCCCUUCGGGGUACACGAGUGGCGAACGGGUGAGUAACACGAGGGUGAUCUGCCCUGCACUUCGGGAUAAGCCUGGGAAACUGGGUCUAAUACCGGAUAGGACUCCUGCCUGCAUGGGUGGGGGUGGAAAGCUUUUGUGGGGUGGGAUGGGCCCGCGGCCUAUCAGCUGGUUGGUGGGGUGAUGGCCUACCAAGGCGACGACGGGUAGCCGGCCUGAGAGGGUGACCGGCCACACUGGGCCUGAGAUACGGCCCAGACUCCUACGGGAGGCAGCAGUGGGGAAUAUUGCACAAUGGGCGCAAGCCUGAUGCAGCGACGCCGCGUGAGGGAUGACGGCCUUCGGGUUGUAAACCUCUUUCGUCCGGGACGAUAAUGACGGUACCGGAAAAAGAAGCCCCGGCUAACUUCGUGCCAGCCGCCGCCGUAA
rnacentral:rRNA from 1 species